rnacentral:lncRNA from 1 species
CCUUUAAGUCACAUUACAUUGAAAAUUGAAAGCAAUUAAAUUGAACAUUCAUUAGGCCCAUUAAAUCAGAAAGUCUUUCAUCCAUCUAGGUUUAUUGAUCUAACGUUUGGGCCUGUUGAUGUUGUUGGGCCCUGGUGUAACAUUACCAUCCGCUGGCUGAGACACUUUGUCCUCAAAGUGAGUCUGAUGUUCUUGUUGGGUUAAGUGGGAUUGUUGGGCUGAUUGGUUGGGCUUGGCUGUUAUAGGAAUUUGGUGAAUGUGUGGGAGUGAAGGUUUGGACAUAGGUGUAGGUGUUGUUGGACUCGGGUUAGGGUUUUCUACGUUUGAGGUAUUAAGGAAAGUGGGUGAGGCACGGGGCUCGAGGGGGGAACUAAUGUGGUUUACGGUAGUUGAUGUGGGGACUUGAGAUAAAGGGUUAUUAUGAGGAGUGGGUGGGGCACGGGUUUUUAGGGGUGGGCCAGGGGCAUUUAAAAGAUUAUGUGUAGUGGCAUGCGCAGAGUUAUGAGUGAGGUUACGUGUAGUUGGGGCUUUCUGAAUAUUAGGUGAAGUGUGAGGCUCAAGAUUUGGGCUCUUUGACACAAUUGAGAUUAGAUGUGUUGGCGCAUUUUGAUUGGGCGGCAAGGGCGGUGUAGUCAGAGGGUCAGGUGUGGUUUGAAUUGUGGAACUUAAAGGGUUAGUCGAGUUAAUGUUCUUGCUGGAGUUUGAGUUUGGGUGUGGGGAGGGAUAUGGUGUUGGUCCUCUGAAAAGCCGGAGAAGUGAGACGUGGAAGACCGGAUGAAUGUGAGAGGAGGGAGGUAAUCUGAGCUCAUACGCAACGGUGCCUAUGCGGCGGCUUAUUUGGUAUGGUCCCGAGUAGCGAGGAGAUAGUUUUUGACAGGGACGACGUUCCACAGAUUGUUGGCGGUAUGGCUGGAGGCGAACCCAGACCCAAUCAUCUACGUUGAACGUGCGGUCCGAACGGUGCCGAUUUUCCUGGUCGCACAUGCGUUGGCGAGUUCUGAGGAGAUUAUGUUUGAGAGAGUGCAACACUAAGGUAUGCUGAUGUAGCAGAUCUGAGAUAGUGGUGCCAACGCGAGGCGUGUGCAACAAAUCCAAGAUGGUGGGAGGUGGACGACCGUAUAGAGCAUGGAAGGGAGAGGUGCCAAUAGCCGAGUGAUGAGUCGUAUUGUGCCAUAACUCUGCGAGGUGGAGGUAUUGGUACCAUGUGUGCGGGUGGUCCUCCGUGAAACAUCGCAGGUAAGCUUCGAGCCCUCUAUUUAAAACCUCAGUUUGCCCAUCCGUUUGUGGGUGAUAGGCAGAGCUAAAUUUUAAUGUUGUACCUUGAGCUUUGAAUAGUUGUCUCCAGAACGUGCUAACAAAGAGUGGAUCUCGAUCUGAUACGACUGUUUUUGGCAUUCCAUGAAAGCGGAAGAUCUCCACAGCAAAGCGUCGUGCGAGUUGUUACGCCGUGAAGUGGGUGGGAAGAGCCAGAAAAUGGGCGUACUUGGUGAGGCGGUCGCAGAUAACCCAAACUACCGUGUGACCCGCAGAGGAAGGUAAGUGAGUUAUGAAAUCCAUAGACAAAUCUUCCCAUACUUGUGCUGGUGUCGAUAGAGGUUGAAGUAACCCCUGACUUUUUUUUGGCAUGUAUUUAUUUCUUUGGCAAGUGACGCACUGUUGGAGAAAUUGUUUCACAUCCCGCGUCCAUCCUGGCCAAUAAAACGAGGCAACAAUUCGAGCGAGGGUAGGCUUGAGGCUGGAAUGGCCAUUUGUGGGGGACUCAUGCAUUUCGUGGAGGAUCUGUUCUCUAAAUUUAUUGGACGCCGGAAGGAACAGUCGGUGUCGAAAGAACAACAUCCCAUUGCGAACUGAGAACAAAUUGGGUUGGGGUUGAUCGUGCGUGCACGAUUGAAUUAACUGGGCACCUUCCGAGGUUUUGAAGAACUGUUGUAACUCUUGAAAUAAGAGGGGAAUCGGCGAAGACAAAGCAAACAACAAUGAAGGUGUUGGUGUUCCUUGGCGGGAUAGAGCAUCAGUAACUACAUUUUGUGUUCCAGGUCGGUAUAAAAUUUGAAAAUCAUAUCCUUGUAAUUUUGCUGUCCAUUUUUGUUGUUCUGGUGUUUGAAUCGUCUGUGACAGUAAUGUAUGCAAGCUUUGUUGAUCUGUGAAAAUUUUGAAGUGUUGGCCUAGUAAGUACUGACGCCAUUUCUUUACUGCUUCUGUUAUUGCAUACAUCUCCCUUACGUACACGGAUGACGCUUGGAGUCGUGGACACAUCUUCUUGCUGAAGAAUGAAAGUGGGCGUUUGUUCUGGCUGAGCACUGCCCCCACUGCCACUGCAGACGCAUCGGUCUCCACUACAAAGGGCUGGCUGAAAUCUGGAAGGUGUAGUGUAGGAACCCUUGCAAUUUGUAAUUUCAAUUCGGUGAAAGUUGUAUCAGCGGUCACAGGCCACAUAAAUUUCUGGUUAUGUAAUAAGUCGGUGAGAGGAGCGGCGAGAGUGGCGUAAUGUCGAACAAAUUUUCUAUAAAAGCCGGUGAGACCGAGGAAGCCCCUGAGUUCCGUGAGUGAACGUGGUUGUGGCCAAUUAUGUAUGGCAGUGACUUUUUCUGGGUCAGGGGAAACACCACCAAGAGAAAUGAUAUGACCUAAGUAAUGAACUUGAGUGGUUGCAAAACUGCACUUGGUUAGCUUCACAAAGAAUUGCUUAGUGUCUAAGAGAUCCAGAAUAAUCUGUAAAUGAGUAAUAUGAUCUUGUAAUGUAGGACUAUAAAUUAAAAUAUCAUAAAAAAAAAACUAGGACAAACCGCCUUAAAUAUGGUCGAAGAAAAUCAUUCAUAGCAGCUUGGAAUGUAGAGGGUGCAUUAGUCAAGCCAAAUGGCAUGACUAAAAAUUCGUAAUGUCCAUCAGUGGUCCUAAAAGCUGUCUUAUGGGUGUCCUUUGGGGUGACUCUUAUUUGGUGAUACCCUGCGUAUAAAUCCAGCUUAGUGAAUAUUGUAGCUGAACCUAAUUCAUCUAGCAAUUCAUCGAUGGUUGGUAUUGGGAAGCGGUCACGGAUGGUGGCUGCAUUUAAGGCUCUGUAGUCAACACAAAAACGCCAACCAUCUUUCUUUUUUAUAAGGAGGACAGGGGAUGAAAAAGGGUUGUUGCUAGGUUUGAUGAAACCAUCUUGCAACAUUUCCUGAAUGAGAGUAGUGAUAGUUUCCUUCUGGGAGUGUGGGUAGCGAUAUGGUUUAACAUUGAUAGGAGGUGUGUGUGGGAGGAGGGGAAUUUGAUGGUCGUGUAGCCUCGGUGGGGGUAGCCCGUGGGGUAUUUGAAAAAUUGAGUGAUGUUGGAGGAGAAUGGCUUGGAUGGGAAAAGGUAAGGAGUAUAAUGGGGAAGAGGAAUUUUGUAGGUUGCUUUCUAGCUAGCUUGGGGAUGAUGAUGGGCUAUCAAUUGACAAGAGGUGGAGAGAUGCAAUGGAGUUAGUAGAGAGAUAUUGACAAAACUGAUGGUAGGUUGUUCUGGUGGGUGUAGAAGUGGUUGCCGCUUGUAGAUUGAUGGGUUGGUUUUGGUAGGUGAAGGCAAUGCUGGGGAUGGAAAAAUCUGCCUUAAUAGGUCCUAAGGUACGCAACCAGUCAAUACCCAAUACUACAUCAGCUCCUUCAAUGGGUAAGAGGUAAAAGGGAAUUGUAAAAGUUGAUGUUUGGAGGGAAAUGUCGACGGAAGGACAAAUGCCUUGGCAUUGGAUAAAGGCACCAUUUCCGACCAUCACUGACAGUGGGGGACUAGGUUGAAAGGGUAGGUGAAGGUGGUGAGCAAUACGCGGUUGUAAUAUAUUAUGGGAGCUGCCAGAGUCAACCAGAACGGUGACAGGAAGGUUGUGAAUCAUUCCAGUAAAUUUCAGGGUUUGGGGCGAUGGAUUACCAAAUAGGGCCAGUGGUGAUAAAUGAAAAUGUAUGGUCUCUGGGUACUCUAUAGUGGUGGAUGGUUCCUCCACAGGAUCCAGGGGUGGGUCAAGAUCAUCCAAGAGCAGUAGGAAUCGAGAUGGUGUGCAUUUGUGUCCUGGGAUAUACUUCUCGUCACAGUUAUAACAUAAUCCCUGUGCGCGACGCUCUUGUAGUUGAGUUGGGGUGAGUCGUUUAAUGGGUAGGGUAGUCUGUGAUUGGUGGUUUGGAGUGGUUCUUGUGGGUGGUGACUGGGAAGAAGUAUGGAUGGUGUUGUGGUUCUGAACUUGAAAAGGGCGUGGGAUUCUAGGUUUGGAAUCACGGUAUUUGUCUUCAACGAGUUUAGCGAGACCAAUUGCUUGGGAGAUGGAGUAUGGAUUCAGAAUGGACAAUUCUCUACGAAUAUCUGGGUGGAGACCCGAGAUAAAACAAUUGAGAAUAAUAUCUGGAGUGAGACCGACUGUGCAGUUACAGAGUUUUUCAAAACGAGUUUGGUAUUCUGUUACCGUGGUUACCUGUUGUAGUUUGAAGAGCGAUGCUUGAUGGUUGGUGUAUGUUGAAGGUCCAAAGCGGAGCUCCAGGGCACGGGUGAAUGAUACCCAGUCGGUGACCAGGUUGUUCUGGUGUAACCAUUUAAACCAGCUGAGUGCUUCGCCUUUCAUGUGAAAAGCGACCAUCGAUAGUCUUUGUGCAGGGGGAAUCUGGUAAAAUGAAAAAUAUUGUUCAGCUUGGAAAAGCCAGUCCAAGGGAUCAGAGCCCUCAAAGAAAGCCAACUGCAACUUAGGUGGUCUAAUAUUAGAAGGGUUUGGUGGAUGGUAUUGUGGAUGAGGGUUAGGGUUUGGCAUGGUUUGUGGAGCAGGGAUCUGAGGGUUAGUGGGGAUGGGUGUUGUAGCUGCUGGAACAAAAGGGGUUUCUGCAGAGGAGGAACUUUGGUGGUUAUGUGGAGGUAUCGUAUGAUCUAAGAGAAGGGUAAGGGUGGACUGGAUGGAGUCCUUUCUGGCUUCCAUGGUGGCGCGACGGGUUUGUUGUUCAUCCAUCUGGAAUUGAAGGGCAGAGAGACGUUCCUUGAUGGAAUUGAGUAUGUCUUCUAGGUCUUUGGCUUGGAGUUUGGGAGCCAUGAGAAUCAAUGAAAGCACCAAUGUUAGGUUUUCGCUACAGUAAUACUAAGAACUAAGAACUACGAGAGAUAAAAAAAUUUUAAGACCUAGGGCAAAGCUGCCUCUUCAUUCAUUGAACUCGUAUUCAAAUAGGGUUUUCCCAAAGGAUACAAUGGGCUUCCCCUUUAAGUCACAUUACAUUGAAAAUUGAAAGCAAUUAAAUUGAACAUUCAUUAGGCCCAUUAAAUCAGAAAGUCUUUCAUCCAUCUAGGUUUAUUGAUCUGACGUUUGGGCUUGUUGAUGUUGUUGGGCCCUGGUGUAACAGGAGGGGAUUAGGGAAUCUAUGCAUUAUAGGAGUUACAGUGAGGUAGAUGUGAUAGAUCAAACUAUAUAACUUCAUUAUAAAUACAAAAAUAUUAUUAUGCACCUUGAUAAAGUCAUACUUUUUAGGUCUUUUUUCAAGUUAUACCUUUUUUAUGUCAUUAUGUGCUAAGAAAUUGCAUUAUUUGCUUAAUUGUUAAGUUUGUUUAUUGAUGUGAAAGUUAUAUUACUAACAAUUAUGGUGAGUGAAGGUGAUUAAUGAGUGCAUAGUCCAUGUUCUCACUAGAUUGUGAUAUGGUUUUUGCUUUCGCACCCCCAUUUUUUACCUACACCCCCCUUAAUUGGUAUAAUGACAUUGCCCUCAUGGAUUUUACAUUUCUCUCUCACUCUCCUUCCCUGCUCUGCUCUGGCACUGUGUUUGUUCUUCGUUUACAUCUCCCUCAUUGCACUACACCACCACUAUCGCCACUACUGUCGCCAUUGUUACAUCAUCAUUGUUGUAGUAGAAUAAGAUAGGGAGAAUACUGCAAAGGAACAAAAAAAGAGAGAGAACGCCUUACAAACAAAAUAUUAUUCCAAAAAUCUCUUUCCAUAAUAUAUUUUAUGUGUUUUAAAAAACUUGUUCCAAAAAACUCAUUCCAAAAAAAUGUAUUCCAAAAGGUAUUAUAUAGGCUCCAAAAAGUUUGUUAUGGAAAUCUUAGAAAACUUAUUCCAGAAUAUAUUUCAUACAUUUGAAAUUUUCAUUAUGAAAAAUCUUGUUCAAGAAAUUUUUAUUUUGUUCUAGAAAUCUCAUUCUAGGAAUUUUGGAAAGUGUGUUCUGGAAGACUUUCAUAUCACUUUAAAGAAAACUAAAAUGGUAUUUUAAAUAUUAUGGGGUACAUGAAGAAAAAUGAGGGUCUGCAAGAAGAAAAAGCCUUGUGAUAUAGUGCAGGAAAAAUGCAGCUCUAUAACUAAACUGUUUCUUCCUGCACCUCCCUAUUUUCUUCUCCCACAUCCAUAAACUUUUGAUAUUCCAAAAAUUUUCCUCUAUAAUAUUCUAGAUUAUGUAAUCUGGAAGUCUUUUUCCAAAUUUGUAAUUAGCUUCUAGAUUAUGUAAUCCGGAAGCCUUUUUUCAAAUGUAUGAUUAGUUUUCCGAUUACAUAAUCUGGAAGUCUAAAUUAGCUUAUGAAUUAUGUAAUUUGUAAGCCUUUUUUUAAAUGUGUGUCCGGAUUACAUAAUUCGGAAGCUACUCUCAAAUCCAGACUUCUGGAUUAUAUAAUCCGAAAUACCAAUUUUUAAAAAUAUAUUCUGAAUUACAUAAUCUAUAAGUUAUUUUCAAAUUCGAGAUUAACUUCUGGAUUAUGUAAUCUGGAAUAUGGAGGUG